GAUGAAGAACGCAGCGAAAUGCGAUACUUGGUGUGAAUUGCAGAAUCCCGUGAACCAUCGAGUCUUUGAACGCAAGUUGUGCCCGAAGCCACUAGGCCGAGGGCACGCCUGCCUGGGCGUCACACGUCGUUGCCCCCCCAUCUACUCCUUCGGGAUUGCGGGGGGGCGGAUGAUGGCCUCCCGUGCGCCUAGCCGCGCGGUUGGCAUAAAUACCAAGUCCUCGGCGACGCACGCCACGACAAUCGGUGGUUGCGAAACCUCGGUUGCCCGUCGUGUGCGUUCGUCGCGCAUCGAGGGCUCGAAAAAAUGCUCGGCUCCGGCUGGGCUUUCAACGCGACCCCAGGUCAGGCGGGGUUACCCGCUGAAUUUAAGCAUAUCAAUAAGCGGAGGA
rnacentral:misc_RNA from 1 species